rnacentral:rRNA from 1 species
UACCGUGAAACUGCGAAUGGCUCAUUAUAUCAGUUAUCGUUUAUUUGAUAGUACCUUACUACUUGGAUAACCGUGGUAAUUCUAGAGCUAAUACAUGCUAAAAACCCCGACUUCGGAAGGGAUGUAUUUAUUAGAUUAAAAACCAACGCCCUUCGGGGCUUCUUGGUGAUUCAUGAUAACUUCUCGAAUCGCAUGGCCUUGCGCCGGCGACGGUUCAUUCAAAUUUCUUCCCUAUCAACUUUCGAUGUUUGGGUAUUGGCCUAACAUGGUUGCAACGGGUAACGGAGGGUUAGGGCUCGACUCCGGAGAGGGAGCCUGAGAAACGGCUACCACAUCCAAGGAAGGCAGCAGGCGCGCAAAUUACCCAAUCCCGACACGGGGAGGUAGUGACAAUAAAUACUGAUACAGGGCUCUUUUGGGUCUUGUAAUUGGAAUGAGUACAAUUUAAACCCCUUAACGAGGAACAAUUGGAGGGCAAGUCUGGUGCCAGCAGCCGCGGUAAUUCCAGCUCCAAUAGCGUAUAUUAAAGUUGUUGCGGUUAAAAAGCUCGUAGUUGAAACUUGGGCCUGGCCGGCCGGUCCGCCUCACCGCGUGUACUGGUCCGGCCGGGCCUUUCCCUCUGGAGAACCCCAUGCCCUUCACUGGGUGUGGCGG